ACAAGCCCUGGUAAGAACCUCCUGUGGUCCGUGUCCUGCCGGCAGACAUGGCCCAGAGCUGCUCACCCUGUAGAUAAAUAGGAAAUAAAACGUUAUCUAUGGAUCCGUGGUGGUGUCAAGUUCAUUGCCCGCAAAGAAGUCACAGGAAAAAGAUGUCGCUGAAGCUCGGAAGGUGAUAAGAGCUUUGCGUUCUGGCAGAUAGUCAGGACUUGGCUGAUGAGCAGUUAGCUCCUGGAAAAGCUAAUUUUAGUCUAAAAGUAUCAUGGAUGUCUUGAGAUGUUAAUAUUAGAUGAAGAGACAGAUCUUCUUAAAAGGGAACUCUGGUUGCGGCACUUUUCUUCAGGGUUUCCUCACUGGGGGGAUAUAUGUGGGAUAUCUAUGGUGUGUCUUGCAUUCUUGUUCCUGAAACCUCUCUCUAAGGAUCUUGCCAGUAUAAAAACACUUGUUUUACACUCAGGUGUCCACAACUGCACACAAGUCAGAGUUUUAGAUGUGCGCUGUGGUUUUAAGCUGCUUUAGACAAGCCCGGCCAGUCACAAAAAGAGCCGGAGCCGCCUCUCCUUUCUCUCCUCGGCACAAAGAUGCGGCUCAUGUGGUUAAACCCUAAGGACGGCGCGACGUGGCUCCUUGGGUUCCAUCCGCCUUGGCCCAGCUGCACGAACACGAACGGCGGCGCGAAGGAAGUUCCGGGGGCGAGAAGAGGGAAGAACGGCACCUCGUGAUGAUUUAAAGCAAUUUGGGAAACCAGAGAUGUGGGAAAGUCCACCCAGGACAGUUGGGCCUUUCUGCUCUUUGCAGAAGCGUACUUUGGAGAUGGAGCCGGUCAACGUUCAAAUAUUAGGAGCUGAAAAGAAAACAGGGAAUCUUCAAAGGGAAUAAAGGAGGCGGCUGAUGGGCCGGGGUGACGUUUGGUGGGAUCAACAUGACUCCUGCUUGGUCGUUGUGGCUUAGGUGUAGAAGUACAUAGAUCAGAGACCUUUCCCGCCCGCGGCGCAGACAGAAACGGGAGAGAAAAUCAGCUGCUCUCCACACCCACGGGCAAGUAGAGGAAUUAAUCUCUUCAUUUCCUUCUCUCAACCUUCAAAGCGAAACCACAAAAGAAGAGAAUGCAGAUGAUAAGAUCCAACGUGGGUGUCAUCACUUUGUCCCACCGGGAUGUCCUCGCUCACCACCUGGAUGUCACCAGAAUUCCCCUCCCAGGAUAUCGGGGGCGAUGGAGCUGAAAUGGCUGCGGUGGCAACUUCCUAAUUCAACUUCACGCAGCAACAAUUUCCCCACCGUAAAAAUGAGAGAGUAUUUGUUGCUGGGCAACACAUUUGUUCACAGGGGCAAGAACUGUGUAACUCUGCUAAUAUUAAAGAGGAACUGAAAGUGUGUAGUUUUUCAUACUUUUUGCUAAUUUUGGGAGCUCCGUAAAAGAUUAUUUCAAUAUUUUCUGCUAAAAAGUUGGCUGUAAACUCGCCUUCCUGUUAUUUUCAUGAGGUAUCACAAAAGAUCCAAGCGAUUCUGAGAAAUAAGAUCGUCCGCUGUGAAAAGCGCUUUUGUGUCACCCCCACGUGCUGAUCAUGGGAGAGUGAUUUGCUGUCCCCGUGGCACCACGGGUCACCAAACAUGCGGCAAGUUGGGCAGGAAAGCAGGAAUAAAGGGUUAGAAUCAAGGGGAGAGUGAGGAAAGGGACAGUUACGCAGCGCUUUUGUGCAAAUUGAUGGCAAUCGAACGAUGGGUUUUAUCUUUAAUAACUAUUAAAAUGUUUUCGGUCAUCU